rnacentral:lncRNA from 1 species
AUGUGGAAGAAUGUUUUGAGAAAGGAAAAUCAAAAAUUUUGGAAAGGCAACUGCUGGGCCUUUUUCUUUAAAGAUUUUGGAGGGACAGCAAAGAAAAACAUUAAAGGUCUGGCUUUCUCAGCAGCAAUGUUUCUUCCAGUAAUAUUCAGGUCAUGUCAGACCUGUUCCCAAGAGCUCCAGCUGGAGUAGGAACAAUUUGAACUCUGCCACCGUGGGAUGAGCAGGCUCCGUAAGAGGGAUGUUGGUAGAAGCGAACACAUAAGCACAGAUUUUAUCCACAGUGGGCAAGAAAUGGGGUGAAGAAAACCAUAAAGAGCAAAGGAAUUGGCUGGCAGGCAAGCAGUACCAUAAAACACUUGGGGAAGGUGGAAAUUGUGGUGCAGGUAAAAACAUUGUCAUGGGAGGGAAUCUUGUGAGGGCAUAGGGUGGUGGGAUUCAUACAACAUAUCUUAGAAGAACAACUACUAUUAAGCUGAUGUAUUUGAGCCUUCUUCUUUAGGUUGAGAUGAAGAAACACUGUCAGGGCAUAUUUCUCUUCAUUGACUGUAUAUGGUGUGACCAGCUCUGCUGUAUGCAUUUUGUCUAUAAAUAUCUAAAGUUAAGGAAGGUGAUCCAGACAGAUUAUCUGACUGGGUUUUCAGACAUUUCUGCUUAAUUACAGGACUCUUCAUGAUUGGGAUUUUUUUCUGUCUUGACAGAGUGAGAUUACUUCUCAGAACUCCAUUUGUCACUUGAGAAGAGAUGGUUUAUUUAUUAAUAAUAUUAAUUUAAUAUUUAUAAUAACAUUCUGUAUGUGUCUGGCAAUUUGGCAACAUACAAAAGGCAGUCCCUAUUCUUAAGUGUUUACACUGUAUUUUCAGAUAACACUGUAAAAGAUAAAAAAAGGCCAAGGAGAAGGAGGAAUGUGAACUAUGAGAAUACAAGAACAUAGGGAUGUAGGAUGUUCAAGACAUAUGCUUUCUUGGUUUUAUUCUUCUGUGUAAUGCAUAUUUGUGGUUUAUAAAAAGGCAUUUUAAUAUGCAUACAUCACUUAGGAGAAUAAUUGUGUGUAAGAAAUAUGUCACUAAAGCAAAAUAAAAUUAAACUGGUAUUAGACUUCCA